CAGUGGCUUGCCUUCCUCAGCUGUAGAACAAUUUCAUUUCUCACCUGUUCUUGUCACCACCUUAGGGUUGGCACGCUGUGAGCAGGACUCUGGGGACCCAGAACAUUCUCCAGUUGUGGCAAAAUCACCACGUGCACCUGUGCGCUAGUACCAAAUUGACAGGCUGUUCGUCUGAGGGCCCAUCAGUAAAAGCCCCGAGUCUACUGGCCAAAAGAGGAGCCGGGCACUGUCAACAGCAG